CCAGGUGCCCACGCCCGUAGUGCUGCAGUGCUGCUGCUGCUGCUGCCACCGCCGCCGCCUACUACCUGAGUGCCUGAUCGCCGGCUGAUCCAAUCGACCAAUCAGGUAAUCCUGCAAUCCAAAGAGGCAAGCGAGCAAGGCCAGACGUCCAGACUGACAGACUCCUGUCUCUAGAGAAGAUUGAUCCUGAACUACUAGAAGAGCAGCAAGAUUUCUCACGAGAAAUUUCAGCGUCCAUGAAGGAGAAGAGCAUGGAGUGUUUACUUUCAGUGAUAAACAUUGGACUUCACUGCACUAAGGCAUCACCAAAUGAGCGCAUGGGCAUGCAGGAAGUGGCUGCAAAGCUGCAUGGAAUUAAGGAGGCAUAUCUGAAGCUAAACUUCGGUUUUGUAGGAGGUCUGAACAGAACAAAUCCAAGGCUCCGUAAGUUGACUUCCAAUGGCGACAACGGAGUAUCAAAUACUGGCUCACGCUCUGGGUGGCACUCGCUCUAUCUGAUCCCAAAAAGAAAAUUAUCAUCCUAAUCGUUGCUCAGUGUGCAUGUGUGAAACCUCAGCAUGUGAGAUGUCGACCGUGUAGUAGUCCUUAAUUGCGUUCACUUUGUGACUUGUGACUGUUUAUUUCGCCAUGUAUACUA